rnacentral:lncRNA from 1 species
ACAUGUUUCCAAAAUCAGCUAAUCUGCACAGGCAGUUUUGAUGAAUUUGUUACUUAAUAACUCACUUGUGCUACUUUUCUUUUCUUUGCUUGAUAAAUCACACAAAACACAAAAACAUAGUAAAUAGCUCAAAAAUAUAAGGAACUAACUAAGAAAAGACAAGUGAAUUUUAUGUAAAAUAUAUAUAAAUAUGAGCUUAUCAGAAGGGUAGUGAACUUUACGCGACGGAGCACUUAGUUGCGCAAAUCCUUUUGCAC